rnacentral:rRNA from 1 species
CACGUAGGCACCAAGCGUUGUCCGGAUUUAUUGGGCGUAAAGAGCUCGUAGGCGGUUCGGUAAGUCGGGUGUGAAAACUUUGGGCUCAACCCAAAGCCUGCACCCGAUACUGCUGUGACUCGAGUCCGGUAGGGGAGUGGGGAAUUCCUGGUGUAGCGGUGGAAUGCGCAGAUAUCAGGAGGAACACCGGUGGCGAAGGCGCCACUCUGGGCCGGUACUGACGCUGAGGAGCGAAAGCAUGGGGAGCGAACAGG